UACGUAGGGUGCGAGCGUUGUCCGGAAUUAUUGGGCGUAAAGAGCUCGUAGGCGGUCUGUCGCGUCGAAUGUGAAAACCCGGGGCUCAACUCCGGGCUUGCAUUCGAUACGGGCAGGCUAGAGUUCGGUAGGGGAGUCUGGAAUUCCUGGUGUAGCGGUGAAAUGCACAGAUAUCAGGAGGAACACCGGUGGCGAAGGCGGGACUCUGGGCCGAUACUGACGCUGAGGAGCGAAAGCGUGGGGAGCGAACAGG
rnacentral:rRNA from 1 species